rnacentral:sRNA from 1 species
CGGAGAUCAGCACCGUGCUGGAGGCUGCCCAGACCUAUGCCAGCCACACCCAGCGCUGGGUGGUGCUGCCGCUGCACAGUGCCCUGUCUGUGGCUGACCAGGACAAGGUAUUUGAUGUGGCACCCCCUGGAGUCCGGAAAUGCAUCCUCUCCACCAACAUCGCUGAGACCUCAGUCACCAUUGACGGGAUCCGCUUUGUAGUAGAUUCUGAUGAAGAGCAUGAGUGUGGGGGACCCCCGAACCUUCCCCUUCAUCGAGCCCCCACCACCAGCCAGCCUGGAAACUGCCAUCCUCUACCUCCGGGACCAGGGGGCCCUGGACAGCUCAGAGGCCCUCACACCCAUUGGGUCCCUGCUGGCCCAGCUGCCUGUGGACGUUGUGAUUGGGAAGAUGCUGAUCCUGGGCUCCAUGUUCAGCCUGGUCGAG